CUUGAAAUUUCCACACCGAAUAGCAAUUUUCAAUAGCUUCAUUUUGAUAUAUAGCCGAACGUUUGGGGUCAAGUAUUUCUGCUCAUAACUCAGAAAAACUAUUUUGGCUUCAUCAAAUCAUAGGCCUUCAUCAUAGCAGUUAGCCUUCCAGUUUAUUUAUAGUUCAAUGGGUCAAGACGAUUCAAAUAUUCAAUGGUCAAGAGUCAAGACAUUUGUCAAAAUGAUUCUUUCAAAAACUUGGGCUUUUUAAUAUACGAAUUUCUUAGGAUUUGAAUUCAUUAAUACACUUUACAGAUUUAAUAGUAUGGAUAAAUGGAUUAUGUAGUAAACAACAGUACAAGCUAUAUUAAUCAUGUCUUCCACGAGUCAGAAUUCUUCUGCAUCAGAACUAUUCAACGACCUUCGUCCUAUCUGUGUGGAAAUUGCCCGUGAGCCCACAUCGUGUAGGAUAGAAGCACUGCGAGAUUAUGUGCAAUCAAACGAUGCAACAGAUUUUUCAAUGCUUGUUGAAUAUAUUCUUUUUCCUCUGCAAGCAACUGUUACACGAAAGAACACAUCUAUGAAAUUGAAAAUACAAGCCAUAGGCUGUAUGUGUGUGCUGUUGUCUAGAACUGGUCUCAAUAGAUUUGACAUGUUUAGAGAGAUCUUUCAACAUAUAUGUUUCUUGAUGAGCUCAAAAGAGCCAGGAAAGGUA